rnacentral:rRNA from 1 species
AUACGACUCUCGGCAACGGAUAUCUAGGCUCUCGCAUCGAUGAAGAACGUAGCAAAAUGCGAUACUUGGUGUGAAUUGCAGAAUCCCGUGAAUCAUCGAGUUUUUGAACGCAAGUUGCGCCCGAAGCCAUUCGGCCGAGGGCACGUCUGCCUGGGCGUCACGCAUCUCGUCGCCACCCCCAAGCCCCCAU